rfam:Roseburia inulinivorans CAG:15 genomic scaffold, scf436
GUCAAAACGAUGAAGAGAAGAGUAGCAUAAGCAAAAGUCCCAGAGAGGAAGGCGUUUGGUGUGAGCAUUCCGGCUAAGAAUUAUGUGAAGACCAGCUCUGAGUGACCCCAAUCCGGUCCGGUGAUACCGUUAUCAUCAAGAAUGAGAUUUCUCCAGAAUGGACAGGCAGUAAGAAGUUUGAUGUCUGAUAGGAUGGAGAGAUGAAGAUGGGUGGAACCACGAUAAGUAUAUCGUCCCUGAU